rnacentral:lncRNA from 1 species
AGAAAACUCUUGUCACUUAGAAUAAGGCAAACUUUCUGAUUUAUGUAUAUAUAAAGAUAAAGCAGUCAAGCAGUCAAGGCCAAAUACUAUUAUCCAAAUAAAGUUAUUUCAGUUCCUUGAGCCCCAGUUGCCUUACUGGUAAAAUUGAGAUAAUACCAACUACCUUGAGGGUUGUUUUAGGCUUUAGAAACAAUAAACCAAACAUUAAGUACAGAAUGGCACAAAAUAGGUGCACAGUAGACGGCAGCCACUGUAACUGUAAUUCUUUGUUUCAUCUGGACUUCUUACAAAAGUAGAAGGGGUAAAGUUCAAAAUGAUAGCUAUUGAAGAAAACUUAGAUUUCAUAAUGCAGGUUGAAAUAUGACUCAUAAGUUCAAGAUAUAAGAUUCCUAAUAUAACUUCCCACCAUAUCUCUCACCAUCACUCUUUCCUCCAUCCAUGUCCUGUUUCAGCUCCAAAAACCUACAAGGUUGUCUUUUGCACCAAGUUUUCCAACACUCACUUCCCUCAAAAAACACCUGCUUCUAUUCCCCAAUUCUUUACCUCUAUACCUCAAAUUUAGAUUAAAAGUCACUCCCUCUGGGAAAUCUUCCUUGGAUAGCCACAUACUAUAAAUAACUAUUUUUAUUUGGACCUUAAGUUUCUCUUUGAGACACACAUAGCAAACAAACUCAGCUCUAUGUUGAGCUCUAUUAGACAGAGAGUACAUUUCAAUAUAGAUAAAGAAUUUCUAUUAUUUGCUUUGGCAAGAGGAUAGAUACUAUGGCUUGAGGGGGUCCCUACCAAUAUACAUGAUGAGGCUUGGUUCCCAUAAUAAUAGUGUUGAGAGGUGUUGGGGCUUUAUGAGGAAAUAAUGCUUUUUUUUUCAGGAGUAUGCAAAGUUGGAUUGGUAACUGAAUUGGUAGCUAUGAGAAUGGAUUGUUAAAAAACACAACUGACCAUCCUCUUGCUGCCUCUCACAUGAGCUCUUCUGCAUGCACCUGCUCACCACUCUUACACACACUCCAGGCCAUCUGCCCUGAGGCCCUCACCAGAAGCUGAACCGACAUCCAUGCAUAGCACUUCGACUUGCAGAACUUUGACCUAAAUCAACCUCUUUAUACAGUACUCAGUCUCAGGUAUUUUGUUAUAGCAAGACAAACCUGACUACAACAAGUUUUAAGUGUUCUGUUUAAACAUGUUCUAAAUUAUUCAAAUUAUAUUUAAACAGAGUGUCAGUUAUCCAGAAGGUUUCUACUAUUUACUCAUGUAAAAAGAUGUUUAGGAUAUAUUGAACUUUUCAAGAAAAAAAUGAAAAGAGUAACAAUGUUGAAACUGAUAUAUUAAUAGGCAAAUUAGAUAUUAACAGGAAACCAAUUAUAUCACUCUAAGAAUAAACUAUAAAGGCAACUAAAAUAAGUCUAUACAAAAUCUUACAAUGUAAUUGAUUUGUUGAAGAAGAAAUUAAACUCUAGGAGGUUCUUUGGCAUAGUUCAAGCCUCUUCUAACUAGAAACUCAUUAGGCUGGCUAUUAAUAUUUUAUUUUCACCUAAAGUCUUAUAUCCUACCAGAAAACCACAUUUGAUUCAAAAUUACUAUAUUUCAUGAACUGAAUAAAAUAUUGGAGGUAUUCCUGAAUGCUUGAUUUGAAUGUGUCCCCUAAAGUUUAUGUGUUGGAAACUUAAUUCCCAAUGCCACAGUGUUGAGACCUUCAAGAGGUGAUUAGAUCAUGAGGGCUCUGACUGCAUGAAUGGAUUAAUGACUUUGUCAUGGAAGUGGGUUCAUUAUCUCAAGACCAUAUCUUUUCUCACGUGAGUGGCCUCAAGGACUUGAUGCAUAGAUUUUAUCCUUAGAGGAUCCUCUACAGAUACUGAAGGAUGAUUGUAAUAGUAAAUAUAUAUUGAUUAAUAUGUAUCAUAUCCAGGUACUAUCCUAAAUUAUUUUAUAAAUUAUAAUAUUUACUAUUUAAGUUAAUAAGAGACAGAUAUUAUUAUCACUAUUGAAUAGUUAUGGAAAGUAUGUCUCAAAAUGGUUAGUAUUUGUCCAGAGUUAUAACUAGAAAGGGUUAGAGUAAUGAUUUGAAUUCAUACCUUUCAACCAAACCAUAAAGCCUACUCUCUUAAACUCCACCAAAUCUAUUCUCCUCAAUGAAGUGCCCUCAAAUACAGGAGAAGUUCAAAAGCUAGAAAGAGCAUGGGGGCUGGCUGGGGUGGGGAGGACAAUCAACAGUAUCAAGUUACAAAGAUUCUAAAGAAUCUUGGGUUUAGCUUGCCUAAAGUAUGCAAUAUCAACAGUUACAUGGGUAGCAUCCAAAUUUCAUAGGAUUAAGAACUGGCCAAACAAAAGGGAAAUAUAGCAGAGCAGUACAGAUGACAAUAAGGAAAUAACCUAAAGAAAUCAGUCAACUGGACAGGGAAGAGAAUUACAAUUCUAAUGAGGGGACACAUGUGAAGAUACCAGAAACAGGUUAUCUGACUCCACCUUCCAGAAGAGAUUCUUGUGCAACAUUAUUCAAUUCCUUGGUUUCCUCCCUCCAUCCAGCAUAGUUUGCCUUAUUUCCUUUGAACUAUUCCAUGUUUUUCUCUGCCAGAUAUGGACUGCUCCAUUUUGUUUUUCUUGCAAACUACAACUUUUCGUUCAGCACACAACUUAAGGGUCAUAACUUUGAUGAAGACCUCAUUCUCAAGGACAGUCUCCAUCUUAUUCCUGAGGCACUUUAUAUACAAUUUCACAACCACAGGAAAAAGCUAAUUUCCUAUGACAAGGAACCAUGUCAAAUUACCUUUGAAAUCUCAUCAUUUAAUGUAGUGCCUGGCUCAUUCCUCUUAAAAUAUGGUUCUAGGAACUAAUCACAAUAAACUAACUACACAUAAGAAAUGUAUAUUUUCUUAACAGAAAAUCAAAGAAUACUAUUACUCAACAGUUUAAAUAAUUGUGCUCUUAUUUUUAUAAAUAUUCAGUAGAAAUGAUCAACUAAAGGGCCUUCAUAUUGGAUUGGACUAGCAAAAUUUACUUCAAUUUUAAACUGGCACUGUCCUUUGAAAUAUCUUAAUGUUUUAUGGGAUACUAAAAAUUAUCAGUUUUGGUUCAAAAAUAAAUAUUCUCUUGAAUGGCUGAAAUCACUGUAAUUUUUUUAAAAUGACAUUCAACUGAAAUUCAUUUCAAAUAUAACUCCACCUUUAGAAUAUCUGCUACAAUCUUAAUUAUGAGAAUAUUGACCUCUCAGGGAACGAAGCCAAUGAAAAUCCAAUCCCAAAGUAAAAAAAGAAGAAGAAGAAGAAGACGACAAAGAAGAGAAAAUAUCUUUGCUUCAGUUGAUUAUCUGGAACAAUGGUCUCAAAUGAAGAGAAUUCUCUUCAUGCCCACCAAAGCUAGGACUGGAAGAAAGCAAACCCCUUGACCCUGAGCAGAAAGGAAAGAAAAAGACAAGAAUGAUGGGGUGCAGAACCUCAGGCUUAGCUCCCCAAGCUAGAAGGGGGGCCCGUUUAAUACACCAUUGAUCAAAACUGAUCUAAAAGAAAACUCUGUUAUGGAAAAUUAACAUAUCACAGCAAUCAUAUUUUUUCAUUUAAAUCAUUGUGGAUUGCUUUGACCAAAUAAAUUUCUCAUUGAUAUAUUGCUAAUUAUCAUGGUUUAUUUUUGAUUAAAUACUACUAGAAAUAUGCCAAACAAAAGAGGAUGAAAUUCACUUGGGAUUGAAACUGUGGUCUAAGGAAUGUGAGGAUCUGAAAAAGAUUCAAUUGUUUUAUGUAUAGACAGCAGAAUGCAUUAUAAUUCUUAUUACACAUAUAGAGUACCAUUUUUCAUAUCUAUGAUUGUAUACAAAGUAUAUUCAUACCAAUUUGUGUCUUCAUACAUGUACUUUGGAUAAUAAUGAUCAUUACUUUCCACCAUCAGUUCUAUCCCCAUGCCCCCUCCCUUCCUAUGGAGAUUUCUUGGAAAAUUGGGAAUUGAAUCACCAUUUGACCCAGCUAUCCCUCUCCUCAGUCUACAUACCAAAGGACUUAAAAAUAGCUUACUACAGGGACAUAGCCACAUCAUUAUCAAUAUUUAUAGCAGGACAGUUCACAAUAGCUAAACUGUGUAGCCAACCUAGAUGCCCUUCAAUAGAUGAAUAGAUAAAAAAAAUGUGGCAUAUAUACACAACGGAAUAUUACUCAGCAAUAAAAGAGAAUAAAAUCAUGGCAUUUGCAGGUAAAUGGAUGGAGUUAGAGAAGAUAAUGCUAAGUUAGCCAAUCCCUAAAAAUCAAAUGCUGAAUGUUUUCUUUGAUAUAAGGAGGUUGAUUCAUAGUGGGAUAGGGAAAGGGAGCAUGGGAGGACAGAAAGAUUCAUUUUAAACCUGAAUUUCUUGAAGGUUAGGAGAUAAUUUUACAGAUAAUCAUAAUAAAUAAUUCUUUUGGAGUUUCACUAACACUUUCUAUUCUUCUAUAAUCUGACAACUCUGGUUGAAUCUGUUCUUCAAGGAAAAUGUUAUUAUCUUUUGACUACAGGGAUAAUACACUGACUCCUCAGGAUAUACCAUAACUUAUAUGGCAAUGCUAAAUAUUUGGCUGAUAGUAACUCAAAAGAAACAAUAUAGCUACAUUGCUGUCUGUUCAUUCUGAUAACUCAAAUUAUGAACAAAGAUUCACAGUCAACAUAGCUUAUUUAAAUAAAAAAGGGUCUUUCCUGAAUAUAAUCACAAAUAAUAUAAUAUAAUCACAUAUAAUAAUAUAAUAUAAUCACAUAUAAUGUUUGAAUGUCCCAGUUAUAUAAUAAAGACUCAUAAGAUACAAUCUCUCUGAGUCCCUGCCUUAAAAAGGUAAAUUAGAGUGUCUCAUAAUAAAAGAACUUUAGUAAAGUUGAAAGUAUCUUUGAAAAAAAAAAUUCUUUGAAUUCAAUAGAGGUCCCUUAAUCCCCAGACACCAUUGUGCCUGGGAUGUUAUGUUUAAAAGUUAUAGAGACAACACACUUUCUCAUUUGGGAGAAAAAGAUUUGUGCCCUCCUCCAAGGAAAAUGUAAUACAGUGAGAGUAGAGUGAACUAUAGCUGCAAAGACAGUUAAAGCUGGGAAACAAAGGGAGAAAAAAAUUCAGGAGCUAUAUAGUUCAAGAUGGUUUAGGAAAUGUCCUCAGUGUCCACAGUAUUCCUGGAGUAUGCUGGAGCCCAAGAUUAAAACAAGAAAUGAAAUUCUAACUUCUGUCAAGGUUCUACCUUGAAAAGAACCUAAUUUGGCUGGCUAUGGAAUAGUAAGAAGACAUUUCCUUUUCCCUUCUCCUGGAUUUUUAAUUUAGUUAUAGAGCAAGCAGGAUCUCCCAGAUUUAGGCAUAAAAUAACCCUAAAGAAUAAUCCACAUGAAACUCUUAAACAAAUCAAUCAAGACAGAUGGAAAGGGAGGGGUAGCAGUCCAUUUUUAGUCAUAUCCUACAGAAACACCUUAGUCCAAAAAAGUAUUUUUAAAAAGAUAAUAGGAAUACAUUUUGGUUUCUAAUCAAGAUAUUGAACUUGAACAUUUUUAUGGAUUUUAUUGGAUUGGGCAACAAUGCCUAUAUUUAGGAGCUAAGAUUAUAAUAUUUCCUAAAACAAUGAAAAUUUACAUAAGAAAUUGCUGUAAUUUUAUAUAAAAAGACCAUAUCAUUCUUUCCUCAGAAUUCUCUAUUCCUAAACAAUAUUUUACAAAGAAGGAUAACAAAUUCACAUGUGAGGUCACAUAAAUGAAAUUUCAUAGAAAUAAUUUGAGAAUCAAACCUUAUUUUAACACACAGUGAAAUUAGAGCCUUUAGAGCUUUGAAGAAACAGAAGUGUAUAAUAUUAGGAUUUUGAAAUUGCCUGUUUUCCCAAAAUUCCAAAAUAUAUAUAAUUAUGUGUGCGUGAAUCACACACACACAUGUGCGCGUGUGUGCAUGCAUGCACAUGUGUGCACACACACACACCAACCACACACAUUAGCUGUAGGCUUUCUCUUUAAUGGUCAAAGCAAGGCUACUGAAAAGUUGAAUCAACAGAAUUAACUACUCUUGACAUUAACACCAUGAUUUCAGUAUCUAUCAUGAGUCACUAACAAAAAGCUAGAAGUUUUAAAAGGCAUUUCUAAUACAAUUUUCAAAUUCCAGAUAACAUGAACACAUUAACAAUUCAAACAUUAUAGACAUGUUAAAAGCAAUAAGAAAUUACUAUAGCACCAUUAUAAUCAGUUAUAGACAACUUAUAUCCACAGGGACACUGUUAGAAUGCAUCAGGGAACUUCAAACAUGACACAUUCUUGCUAGACAAGUUAUUAAGCAGGUGCAAACAUAAUCAGACUAUGGUAUUCAGAAAUUAAGGCCUUUGAAAGGGAAUUAAAAUCAGAUAGUCAGCAGAGUGCAGUCACCUCAAUUGAACACUGGUGGCUUUCUGAGAAAAGCAAGAGACCAAAAAAAAAAAAAAAAAAGGAGACAGUCUCUCUCUCUCUCUCUCUCUCUCUCUCUCCCCUCUCUCCUCUCUCUCCCCUCCUCUCUCCUCCUCUCUCCUCCUCCUCCUUCUUCUUCUUCUUCUUCUUCUUCUUCUCUCUCUCUCUCUCUCUCUCUCUCCCUCCCUCCCUCCCUCCCUCCUCUCUCCUCUCUCCUCUCUCUCUCUCUUCCAGUUUCUUGCCAUGUGGUGACCUGCAUGGCCUCAGGACUUUGCCUUCAGGAGAGCCAUCCAUGGAUGUUCCCCCUCAACCUUGGCCACUGUCAGCUAAAAUAAACUUCUUUUCUGUAAAACUUACUAUCUAUGUUAUUCACAACAGAAAAUGGACUAAGACACCAAUUGAAAGUUGGAAAAAAUUAUCACAUUCAUAUAUCAAAUUCUGAGAAAUGCAUCAUUAGGUGAUUUUGGUCAUUGUUCAAGCACAAAAUGUACUUAUCCAAACUAUGAUGGCUGCAACAUCACCAGGUGAUACAGUCUUAUAGGACUGCUAUGGUACAUGUAGUUUAUUGUUGAUGGACAGUCAUUAUGUGGGGCAUGAGUAUAUGUAUAUAUUUGAUCCCUGGGUAUACAUAAUUUUGAUAUACAAUAGAAAGAAAAUGUAAAACAAUUCAUCUCCUGCAGAUUAGAUUAACAUUCUGGUCUAAAAGAUAAUUUGAAUAAGGUAAGCCAGGGCACUUUGUCUCAAAAUAUGUUGAUUUCUCAACCAAAGUUCUAUGAUCGGGGGAAUAAUUUUUGAAAUACAAUUAUUUUGGGAGAAAGCAGCUUAUACUACAGAUCUCUUUCUGAAUCCCAUGGACUUAAUAUGGGAAAAAACCUAACUCCCUUUUUACUGAAUAUACUAAUCAAAAACUGAUAUUAAAUCAACCAAAACAACCAACCAGGAUGCUUGAAUUCACAUUGUUUAUUAUCACAAAUUUGAGGGUUUCAAAAUGGUCAACAGUCCUAGCAUGUUUCCUAAAGCAUUUCAAUUUCCAGUCUCCAAAACAACUGUUUCACACUUUCCAUCAGAGAUGUUACAUACCCAGCUCUUAGUUUUCACUCAGAGGAAACUGCCAUCAUCUUUACACCUGAAAUUAAUUAAACUACAUACCUCUCUACACAUUUAUUCUUCUAAUCCCCAUCACAAUUAUUAAAUGUACCCAGUCCUAAUAAGAACUAGCCCCUAUAUUAUGCACUACAGCUUCCAUCCUCUGUGAUUUUACUGUUAAUUAUUGCAUCUGACAUUAUUGCUGCUUCUGUCUUCUAUUUAUUUCUCCCUGUCUAGAGAUGGUAUAUAGUGUCUUCCACAUAUAAAAUCCUUCCCUUAAUCACAAAUUCCAUCUCAUACUCUGCAAAAUAUUGCUCUAUUUACUAACUUUAUCACCUCUCAAGAAUUUAUCAAGUGCCUUUAAAUAUAAUAUAAAUUAUUCAUGAAAACUAUACUAAAUUUAUAAAACUUUACUGCAAAGAAUACCAAUUGUAUAGUAAUUCAUCUAAUUUGUUUAGUGCUGAUAUAAACAGUAUUUUCUAAAUCCAUUUACCUAAUGAAUUUUUAUUUUGCUAUUGUCUUAAUUGUAAGUUGAUUCUAUUGAUAUUUCAAGGUGGCAAGAUAACAUCACAAAUUAAGGACAGUUUGUUCUUCAUCAGAUAUUUCUUUCUUUCUUUUUCUUUCCCUCAGUAUAAUAGCCAAAGUUGCCAGUACUGUUUUAUUACUAAGGGUGAUGUUAGAUAUCUUUGUCUUGAGUAACAAAGACUACAACAAAAAAGCAAUAGCAUCAUGUAUUUACACAAUAUUCCAUAGUUUUCAUCAACUUCAAAUUUAUCCCUCUAAUUCCCUUGAGUGAAAAUAUCUUAAUAAUAGUACAUAUCACUUUCCACACUCUCAGGCCACAUAGAAAAAAUAUUACACAUGAUAUUCUCUUCAAGUAUAACAUACCUUUCCAACUUGUGAUAGAAUAUGAAAGAUUUAAAACAUUCAUCAGAUCUUAGAAACAACCUCAUGAAUGUGUAUAUGAAAUUAAGUAAGAAAAAAAAAAGCCUUACACUGCUUCUUGAUUCAUUACGCAUGUAGCUCUUGGGCAAGAACAAUUAUUGGUGUCAUCAUAUGUUAAUCCUAUAUUAAAUCCAAGCAGCUGAGCUAUAAUAACUGAAAAUCCCUCCAAACUUAUAGCAUCUGGAUACUAAAAUAAAGACAAUUGAAGAAAAGAGUAUUUUAGUAGAAGAACACAGAAACAACAAAUAACUUGAAACAUUUUUGUUUCUAUAAAACUUUACAAUUAAAUACUUUUAUAGUAAGUACAAUUUAUAAUCAUUCAUUUUGAUUUUCAUUGAUGUGUAUAUUGGUGCUAAUUUACUGAUUAAGUAAAAUGAACUAGUAUAAAACAUUAACUAUGUCAGUCACUAAUUUAAAAUAUAGUAUGCACAAAUUUUGCAAUUUUGAACACAUUAUUUUUGAUGCAAUGUAAAAUAUUUCAUUUUAAUCAAUUCAUGCAAUUAAAACAUUUCAGUGUAUUUAUGUGUCAGGCACUGUAUAGAUGAUGGACUUCAUCCAUACCUAGAGUUUAUAGAAAGGGAGAAAAACAAAAGCAGAAAUCCACAACAAACUUCUUAAAGGCAAACACAUCAUUAAAAGUUUCUUGAAGAAAACAAAAUACUUCAAAAGAGAAUUUUAUGAAGGAGUAUAAGGAAAAAUAUUAAUAUAAGGCAGUUACAAAAACCUCUUUGGUAUGUAGGCUGAUAUGUUAAGGUUGGGAGAUGACCCAACAAUAUAAAUAUGGGCAGGGUUCUUGAAUGGCUACCAGUUAAUAAAUUAUGGUCUGAGUGAAGGGAAGAAAUGACAGGACAGAAGCUAGGGAUAUAAAUACAACCAUGAUAAAGAAAUUUGAGGUGGAAAAUGAUUUAAAAUGGUGGCAGAGUGUCAAUAUAUUUCAUAAUAUUUAAAUAUAUUAUUCCAUAUUAUUUAACUCUAAUGAUAUUUUACAUAUUCUUUAAUCACUACAAAUAAAAUUCUUACAGCAUUUCUAAUUUUGCUAUGUGAAUUGGUAACCUGUACACUCAGAAAAAUGAGAAAUUAUACCCCAUCUGAUUCAAAUGUAUGAUAUGUUAAGAUCAUUAUACAGUCAUGUGUAACUAAUUAAAACAAAAAAAGAAAUUUAUAGUAGAAAAUUUUAAUUUAUACAUAGAAAAAAUAAAAAAAAAUAUUGUUUGUAUGUAUAUGCAUGUGUAUGACUGAAAAAAAAAUGCAUCUAGCAGUAUAGAAAAAAUCAUUUGUAGGUAUAAUUCCCUAAUAUACUGUAAUACCUGAGCCUAAAUAUCCCAGUGUUAGAAUUUGAAAGAAAGUUAAAGCAGAACAGGACAUGAGUGAUGAUCUCAUUUGGGGGCAUAAGGUUUACAUCUGGAGGCAUUAGUUUACAUCUUGGGNUUAUAGAAUUGGUGGUAGCGAGAC